AAUUAGUAUUAUUAAUUAAUUUUAUUUUUUACAUUUUUUAUCCUUAUUUUAACUGAUCUAAGUAUAGAGUUUUAAUUAAUUAACCUGGGUAAUAAAAUUCCAGUUGAGAGAGUUGAUAGAGUUGCAGCAUUUUUAGAGAAAUAUCAAUGUUUCCCUUAUGUGUUAUUAGAUUUUUUUUUUCAUUUGUGAUUUUAUAUAUUUAUUAGAUAAAAUGUAAUAGUGUUUCAAAAUCACAAAUCCUUUUUUAAGUGAGAAGGUAUUUUCAAAACUGCCAUGUCCUCUAAUGGGUUAUUCUAUAAGUUUUCUGUGCUUUUAAAAGUUGUAUGCUUUUUAUAUUAUUAUUUAACUCAGAUUGUUGGCAAUAUAGCUCAUGUAUUAAAGUCUUCUGUCACAGUUGACUCAGCAAGAAUGAAGACAUUGAUACACUUUUGCAUUAUGGAAUACACAAAUUGGCAGUUCCUCGCCCACUGCCGUAAAAAUACAGGUAAGUAUGCAUGCAUACACAACCCUCAAAAUUAGUAAAACUAAAGUGAGUAAUAAAUUUUUGACCUUAAGCUGUUUUAGGUUCGCAUCAGAUUACAAUUGGCAAACAUAAAGCCAUUUUUACAAAAGUUUUACUAUAAAAGAUAAAAACGAGAUACUAAAGUUAAACACUUAAUAAAGUACUUGCUGCAAUUACUUUCAAAAGACUAAAACUGGACAUAUUGUUUUAGAAAAAGCUAUUUAAAAAAUCCUUAUCUGUACGUAACAGACGAUGGAGAUGAAGUGAUUAUUAUGUGUGGCAAAAGAUUAUUUUAUGAAGUUUUUCAUUUUCUGACUUCGUGAUGGAACUUAUUGGAAUACACUUGCCAUGGACAUGGGAGGAAUAUUGCCACUACAAGCAUGAACAAUAAUAAAACAUUUCAAAGAACAAUUUGUUAUUUCAACGAUUAGAUUUGUUGUUUAAAUGUAUAAAUGCUUUUUGAAUAUUCUUAUUAUAUAU